CGAGAUCAGCUGUUAGCAGCCUAUAGCAUGUUGAUGCUAAACGAUGCCAGGCCUGAUGUUCCCUGCGAGCUGAGAAGGAGCACAGCAAAAAUUGGAGAGUUGAAAUUCCAGGGUUAGAGAUUCCAGAGUCGAUUUUAACUCCCAAAGUGUAGUUUUAAAAAUUUCUGAUUUAAAUGGUGUUCAGUGUUGGAGUUAAUUGACAGUGUUGAUCCAUCAGUGUUAAUACAACUCUCAGAGAGUCAAUCUAAGCUCCACCCAGGUCUCCCGCACAUUUCACCACCUCCGUUGGAGACACAGACGAGCUGGCAAAUUUUUCUCCAUUCAUGCGGUUUAAGACGCUUACAACCAUGAUGCGGCAUGACUGCUGCUGGCACAUCACCAACUACCGACUGAAGUCUCCAAAGAUCCUCAUGCUGCAGUCUGGAGAAGCAUCUCUGAAACCAGCGAAGUUACCGCCCCUACCUCCUCACUGUUGGACAUCAGAAGAGCAAGACUGACAGGUCUGCGUCGUCAUGGAUAAGCAUCUCAUCCCAGCAGGCAAACUGUUCUCUCAUUGCAUUUAAUACACUUUCAAAGCACA